rfam:Comamonas testosteroni CNB-2, complete genome.
GCGUCCCUUGCUGGAGAGAGAUGCAGGCCGUCAUUUCGUAUGUGCGCCGGCAUCCACCGAAGGAGCAAACUGCCCGCGAAAGCAAAGGCAGCGAAUCUCUCAGGUAAAGCGGACAGCAGGGCAAGC